rnacentral:rRNA from 1 species
GACGAACGCUGGCGGCGUGCUUAACACAUGCAAGUCGAACGGAAAGGCUCCAGCUUGCUGGCGUACUCGAGUGGCGAACGGGUGAGUAACACGUGGGUAAUCUGCCCUGCACUCUGGGAUAAGCCUGGGAAACUGGGUCUAAUACUGGAUAUGACCUUUCUCCUUAUGGGGUUUGGUGGAAAGUUUUUCGGUGUAGGAUGGGCCCGCGGCCUAUCAGCUUGUUGGUGGGGUGAUGGCCUACCAAGGCGACGCCGGGUAGCCGGCCUGAGAGGGUGAUCGGCCACAUUGGGACUGAGAUACGGCGCAGACGCCUACGGGAGGCAGCAGUGGGGAAUAUUGCACAAUGGGCGGAAGCCUGAUGCAGCGACGCCGCGUGAGGGAUGACGGCCUUCGGGUUGUAAACCUCUUUCAGCAGGGACGAAGCGUAAGUGACGGUACCUGCAGAAGAAGCACCGGCUAACUAUGUG